CCAAUUUUUUUUUUUUUUUUUCAUCUAUCUCUUUCUUUUUUUUUUUCAGUUAUACUACAACUGUUGUUGUAAAUGGAGCUUAUAUUUUUCCUGUAGAAGAUAUCUACAAGAGAAUAUACAUUUUUAAAAUUUUUUUUGUGGUCGAAAAUUCUGUAGUUAAGUAUGUAACUAUUAGUUGCACAUCCAUGUUUAUGCUUCAAGGCCCUUUUUCAUCUAUGUCGGCAAAUUUCAGUUGAUUAGUGAAUUUUCGGCUAUACAUUUAACCAAGGAGUUUAAGGUUAAGAAGUUGAAUUAGAAGUAAGAAAAAGAAAAUUUUAGUAAAUUGUUUUGGAAUGGUGAUUGGUAGCUUGGAUACUUCACUAGCAGCAGUUUUUGAAGACCGAAAGGGUGUAAAGAGAUGAUAAAAAGAAAUCACACCAGGCACAUGAGCCUUUUAGAUCAAAUCAAAAUACUCAUAAUUCCAUAAUCAAGAAAACUAAGAAAUAUAACUAGCUGCAGAGAUUUUUAUGGAGAUCUAUAGUUCUACACAAUUGACAUAAUACUCAUAUCCUAGAUAGGAAAUUUCAUUAGAACUAUACUAAUUGACAUAAUAAAUAAUUAAACCAAAAUAAUCCUAUCUAGUUAUUCAAAACUGCAUGGGUUUUUUUCCUUUUCAUUUUUCAUGUUUAUUUUGUCUUUACUUGAAAGUGAUUCCUUGGGUGCCUGGCCUCUAUUUUUGCCCCCAAGUUUUUUCGUUUUAG
rnacentral:misc_RNA from 1 species